AGCAACUGGGCUUGCAGAGAAUUACAGUUUUGGAGAGAUGCUGCUGAUCCCUUCAUCUACCAUUCAGUUGAGUCUACACUCAAGAAAAGAAGGAAGCAUUUCUCCUGGAGUCUUACCUACAAGUGGACAGGUGACAAGUGGCAGUAACUGGACAGGGAAAGAUCGCUUACACAGGCUCGGCUUCCUGGAUGCAACAUGAGGGAUUCUGUGUGAAAAGUUAAAUACAACUUUUGGUUUAGUGUUUCUGGACAGGAAGUGCAGUUUGAAAGUGAGGAAGAUGAAAAACAUAUUGACAAAGGAGACACAAUCAUGAAAAUUGAGCCCAAGGGAAAACCAGAGCCUUUAUUCUGAACACUGAGAAGACUAUUGAAGGUAUGGUGUUUUGUGGUGAUGGUUGUUUCUGGUUUUGUUUUAGGGCAGCCUGAAACAGGAUGUGAUGCAGGACUGGAACAAUCCAAACUUCAGUUUUCUCUGAGCAAAACAUCACCCUUGACCUAGGGAGAAACUGCAGAAACAGAGUAUUUAACGAUUUCUUAUAACUUUUGCUGCAUAUGCUGGGGAUGGCUUUUUCAUCUUUAAAUACCAGCACAUUAAUUUUAUUUCAAACACCAAUACUUGAAGGCUUCUGAUGGUAAUGGAGGUUAAAUGGCUUUCAUCUGUCAUGAAAGACAAUGGGUUUCUUUUGUUGAUAGCCUUAUUGCCUGCUUUCUGUAUGUCCACACUGCAGAGUGUGUGUCACAGAGACCUAGAAACAAACACAGUUCUCCUGUUUCCAUUUGGAAUCUAUGUGCCGUUUCCCUAGUUCUGUGCAUGUGCCCAGUUCCUCAUUAGCCCUUCACACAAUGAGCCAACACCAAUUCAUACUCCAGACGUGAAUCAAUAACUUUAUAGCCUUGGUUCUUAAACUUUAUACCUUGGAAAAUGUCAAAUAUAUACCAAGCCAGAGAGGAAUCUCCCACUGAACCGCCACGUGUCCAUAAGCAGCAUCUACAAUGACCGUCUAUAUCCCCACCAGCUCCCCGCUGCCUAGUUGAUUUUGAAGCAAAUCCCAAAUAUCACAUCGUUUCAUCUGUAAAGAUGUCAUUAUGCAUCUUAAAAAUACAAGGACUCUAGGCCGGGCGUGAUGGCUCGCUCCUAUAAUCUCAGCACUUUGGGAGGCCGAGGUGGGCAGAUUGCCUGAGGUGAGCAGUUCAAGACCAGCCUGGCCAACAUGGUGAAACCCGUCUCUACUAAAAAUACAAAAAAUUAGCCAGGUGUGGUGGCGGGCACCUGUAAUCCCAGCUACUUGGGAGGCUGAGGCAGGAGAAUUGCUUGAACUCGAGAGGUGGAGGUUGCAGUCAGCCAAGAUUGCAUCACACCAUUGCACUGCAGCCUGGGUAACGAGCAAAACUCCAUCUCAAACAAACAAAAAAUGCAAGGACUCUUUAAAACUACCCAGAAUACCAUGUUCACACCAAAAAUCUUAACAAUAAUUUCUAACGUUUCAAAUGUCUUCAUUGGAUUGUUUUGAAGCAAAUGACAGGCAUCCUAACAUUUCAUCAAUUAAUAAUUCAGUCUGUCUCUCUCUAAAAGACCUACCUUUUUUUUAAGGCAAAAUCACAAUAUCAUUAUCAUGCUUUAAAAAACCAUUAAUCCCUAAAAUAAUCAAAUGUUCAGUCAAUAUAUACAUUUUCCUGAUGUUCUCAUAAAUGUUAUUUUAAAGUUGAGUUGUUUGAAUCUGGAUUCAAAUUAAUUAAUUAAUUAAUUAAUUUAUUUAUUUAUUGAGAUGGAGUUUUGCUCUUGUUGUCCAGGCAAUGGCACGAUCUCAGCUCACCACAACCUCUGCCUCCUGGGUUCAAGCUGGGAUUAC
rnacentral:lncRNA from 10 species